GCCUUUGUAGCUCAGUCGGUAGAGCAGAGGACUGAAAAUCCUCGUGUCGGCGGUUCGAUUCCGUCCGAAGGCACCA
rnacentral:tRNA from 1 species